rnacentral:rRNA from 1 species
GACGAACGCUGGCGGCGUGCUUAACACAUGCAAGUCGAACGGAAAGGCCCUGCUUUUGUGGGGUGCUCGAGUGGCGAACGGGUGAGUAACACGUGAGUAACCUGCCCUUGACUUUGGGAUAACUUCAGGAAACUGGGGCUAAUACCGGAUAGGAGCGCCUGCUGCAUGGUGGGGGUUGGAAAGUUUCGGCGGUUGGGGAUGGACUCGCGGCUUGUCAGCUUGUUGGUGGGGUAGUGGCUUACCAAGGCUUUGACGGGUAGCCGGCCUGAGAGGGUAACCGGCCACGUUGGGUAGGGGACGCGGCAGAGGGGCAUAGGGGAGGAAGGGGGGGAGAAUGGUGCAACGGGGGCGGGAGUGUGAUGCAGGUCCGCCGCGUGCGAAGUGCGGGCAUGCGGGAUGUAGGGCGGUUUCUCCUGACACUGCGCGUGAGAGGGUGUAAUGGGAAAAGGCACCGGGUAAAUCCGUG